AUUGAACGCUGGCGGCAGGCCUAACACAUGCAAGUCGAGCGAGCGGCGGACGGGUGAGUAAUGUAGGGGGACUGCCCGUUAGAGGGGGAUAACUACUGGAAACGGUGGCUAAUACCGCAUACUAUCGGAUAACCCAUAUGGGAUUAGCUAGUAGGUGGGGUAACGGCUCACCUAGGCGACGAUCUCUCGCUGGUCUGAGAGGAUGAUCAGUCACACUGGGACUGAGACACGGACCAGACUCCGACGGAGGCAGCAGCGGGGAACAUUGCACAAUGGGCGGAAGCCUGAUGCAGCCAAGCGGCGUGUCUGAAGAAGGCCUUAGGGGUGUAAAGUACUAUCAGCGGGGAGGCGUUACCCGCCGAAGAAGCACCGGCUAACUCCGUGCCAGCAGCCGCGGUAAUUC
rnacentral:rRNA from 1 species